UACGUAGGGGGCUAGCGUUGUCCGGAAUCAUUGGGCGUAAAGCGCGUGUAGGCGGCCCGGUAAGUCCGCUCUGAAAGUCGGGGGCUCAACCCUCGGAUGCGGGUGGAUACUGUCGGGCUUGAGUGCGGAAGAGGCGAGUGGAAUUCUCGGUGUAGCGGUGAAAUGCGUAGAUAUCGAGAGGAACACCGGCGGCGAAGGCGGGUUGCUGGGCCGACACUGACGCUGAGGCGCGAAAGCUAGGGGAGCGAACGGG
rnacentral:rRNA from 1 species